GUGCAUUUAGGGUUUGGGUGGACGAGAGAGACAUAUCUAUGGACUCUGCCUAUAGGAAAGAGUUGCAAUGUGUGUUGGGAGAGAAGAAUGUGAGCUUGCCACAGGUGUUUAUUAGGGGGAAGUAUAUGGGAGGGGCUGAUGUGGUGAAGCAGCUUUAUGAAACUGGUGAAUUGGCUAAGAUUCUUGAGGGCUUUCCCGUUAGGGCACCUGGGUAUGUAUGUGAGAGUUGUGGGGAUGUGAGGUUUAUUCCAUGUAUGGAUUGCAGUGGAAGCAGGAAGGUUUUUGAUGAGGAUGAAGGCUUAUUGAAGAGAUGCUUGGAGUGCAAUGAGAAUGGAUUGAUUCGAUGUCCCGAUUGUUGUUCUUGAAUUCUUUUCUAUAUGGGUGA
rnacentral:lncRNA from 1 species